GGCGUAAAGAGUGGUUAAGAACAUUCUAAAAUAAAGUCGAAUGCUUUCUAAGCUGUCAUACGCACCUGAAAGUAAGAAGCCCGAACACGAAGGUAACUUUACAAAAUUCUGACCCCACGAAAGCUAGGUCACAAACUGGGAUUAGAUACCCCACUAUGCCCAGCCUUAAACAUAAAUAGCACCCCACAUUAGCUAUUCGCCAGGGAACUACGAGCCUCAGCUUAAAACCCAAAGGACUUGGCGGUGCUUUAAAUCCACCUAGAGGAGCCUGUUCUAUAACCGAUAACCCCCGUUCAACCUCACCUUCCCUUGUUAAUUCCGCCUAUAUACCGCCGUCGUCAGCUUACCCCAUAAGGGUUAAACAGUAAGCAUAAUUGGUUCAACCCCAAACGUCAGGUCGAGGUGUAGCAUAUGAGAAGGAAAGAAAUGGGCUACAUUCACUAUUUAAGUGAAUACGAAUGAUAAAUUGAAACAUUCAUCUGAAGGAGGAUUUAGCAGUAAGCAGAAAAUAGAGCGUUCUGCUGAAA
rnacentral:rRNA from 1 species